GAGGGGACCUGCUGCUGGAUCAUUACCCACGUGAUCACAUUCACCGCCUACCUGCUGUCGCUGGCUGGCGCACACAUCCUCCUUGCUACUGGAGCGAUGCGUCCAGGUCGCCUGCUAAGGCCGCAGCCAGCGGAACAGCAAACCUGCCCUAGGGGGCUGCGCAGUUGGGACAUUGUCCAAUGGGUGUGAGUGGCGCACACUUCCCUCCACGCAUAGGAGGCGAAGAGUCCAGGCGAUGCCGACCGCUAGUCGGAUAGCUGCACUUGCAUUCGUGGGCAGUGUGCCCCCCAGGAGCAACCUAACGGCUGCGCUGGCGUCUGUGCGUCGUUGAGCAGUUGUUGUGCACUUGCUAGUGCUGGUGAUGUCGUAGGCGUAUGCUGGCAUGGACACUUUGGGCACGACCCCAGUCCCUGUCUUACACACCGUAACUCGGGUGUACGUCUGCGCUUGCCGGUGUUGGCUUGUGUGCUACGUCCGUGGCUGACAAUGAGACGACGCGGUAGGGCCCGUGCUAGCAUUGCGCGGGCUUAAGACUUGAUGAGCCCAUCGCGGAGGGCCGCCAGCAUCUUUUUUUCAACUAACAUUUUUAAACGAACGAACGUUGAAUAAAUUCUAGUCUCAUCGGUGGAUCACUCGGCUCGUAGGUCGAUGAAGAACGCAGCCAACUGCGAUAAGUAGUGCGAACUGCAGAAACCUUGAACACAGAACAUUCGAAUGCACAUUGCGCCAUUGGAGUGACAUCCUUUGGCACGCCUGGUUCAGGGUCGUAACCAAAAAACGCACAGCAAAUGCGUUGGUCGAUCUGUGAAAUCACGUGGCGCUUGCGCCUACGAUGUUUUCGCAUAGUGAUCGGGGAUCCGGAGCGCAGUGCUCGGUGCCGGCAUGGAAGCGUAUUACUGCGUUUUCCAGUAUUCCAUGUCUUACUGUGAGUGACUAGGGCAUUGCAGCGCGGUGCGACGGUCCAACAACAAUUACACGUUGAACAUACAUUUUCGACCUGAACUCAGACGUGAACACCCGCUGAC
rnacentral:rRNA from 1 species